UCCGAGAGGUUCGGGACCAGGAGCAGCUUGCGAUCGCGCCUUGGGGUCAUUCAGACCAAAAAACCAUCAGAUACCCACCUUUGGAUACUUUUCUUUAGGAUUCAGCCUGCUUGCAGACCCCCAAAUGGCAGAUAUGUAGAGAUUUUUCUUUUCUGUAUCGGCCUUGCCGCUGCUCUGAAUAAUAACCAAAAAUGAUCAGGAUUUUGUUUCCACCCUCCAAAUCAACACCCAGUUGUUAAUGAUGACAGCCCGGAUCCGUCCAAGAAACCGCAACUAGGGCUCAAUCAGGGCUUGCACCUGGCCAGAACACCUAUUGGCACUCAUCACGGAACAUUGAAUCGUUGGAGGGCCGCACAACACCGCCAUCAGCCAUCCACCACCCAUCCAUCCAUCACCCACCAAACGUCGUCUCGGCCCUUUGGACAAAAUUUACAUUUGAGUUUAAGUUUAGGUGUAAACAAUAAACGAAAAACAACAAUAGGCUACCAAAAAAAGCGAAAAAUCCAA